AGAGUUUGAUCCUGGCUCAGGAUGAACGCUGGCGGCGUGCUUAACACAUGCAAGUCGAGCGGAGGUUUAAAGCGGAAGUUUUCGGAUGGAAGCAAUAAACCUUAGCGGCGGACGGGUGAGUAACGCGUGGGUAACCUGCCUCAUACAGGGGGAUAACAGUUAGAAAUGACUGCUAAAACCGCAUAAGCGCACAUUGUCGAGUGACAGAGUGUGAAAAACUCCGGUGGUAUGAGAUGGACCCGCGUCUGAUUAGCUAGUUGGUGAGGUAACGGCCCACCAAGGCGACGAUCAGUAGCCGGCCUGAGAGGGCGACCGGCCACAUUGGGACUGAGACACGGCCCAAACUCCUACGGGAGGCAGCAGUGGGGAAUAUUGCACAAUGGGGGAAACCCUGAUGCAGCGACGCCGCGUGAGUGAAGAAGUAUUUCGGUAUGUAAAGCUCUAUCAGCAGGGAAGAAGAAAGACGGUACCUGGCUAAGAAGCCCCGGCUAACUACGUG
rnacentral:rRNA from 1 species